AGUGACAUGAUCAGAUGGCCCAUAUGAUCCUAAUAGAUACAUUUAGUCCAAGUGGCAGUAUAUUUCAAUUCAGAUCAAAUAAAGAAAGAGGACCAACCCCUCAAAUCAAGAAAUCAAAUAAAGGUUGAUGAUUUUGUUGACUUCUCUCAAACAUCAGCUAGUGAUGUAAACAGAUGAUAAAUUUGGAAAGAUGUCUAUGCUUGGCAAGGUUAAGCAAUGGAAAAGAACAUGACAGUCGUAAAGUAGAUCAUGAGACUUUGUUCAAACAUUUUCCAAUGAAUGUAUGUUUUUAGCUAUUUUUGUUUCAAAAAUAUGUAUGUUAAUAGCCCCAACAAUGUAAUUAGCAAAUGAUAAUGGCAUUUUUCAGAAAUACAAAGUUGGAAAUGCAAACAUAAAAGGCUUGUUCCCA